GGUAAGAUUAGUUUAAUUGGCAAAACUACAUCUUGUGGCGAUGAAGUUCAGAGUUCAAAUCUCUGAUUUUACC
rnacentral:tRNA from 1 species